rnacentral:snRNA from 1 species
AGCUUUGCACAGUGGCAGUAUCGUAGCCAAUGAGGUUUAUCCAAGGUGCGAUUAUUGCUAAUUAAAAAUAAAUGGGUGCUGAAUUUUGUCAGCUGUUUUUGCCAUCUAUUUCAAGGACCCAUGGUUUUCCUCCUUUAUUUUCCUAAUAUAG